AUCGGAAUGUGAUACAGAUCAUUUUAGGGGGAAUGAUCACUUAAUUGCUGGUUUGGUUGAUGAUGAAGAAGAUGCCCCUUUCACAACAGUAACUGGACAUGAAGCAUUUGUAACCACAUAGUUGCUAACACUCCCAAGUAACACCCUUUUGAUACGGCCUAAACCCCUGCUUCCAAUGACAAUAGAAUCAAGCUUGAGAUCAUCCACAGCAUCACACAGCUUCUCCCUUGGAUCUCCCCAGUAAACCUUUGCCACCACCUUGGCCCCUUUGGUGUUGGAGACUGUAUCAAGAAUAUUAAGAACCUCAGGAUCAUGACUGAGUCCAUACUGCUUUGAAUAAUUGAUCUCCCUGAAUUCCUCAAGAGGAACCAAAGGUGAUCCUGUGGCUUCAAAAAGCUGCUUCCUGGUAUGAUCGGCUUUGGGUGGCUGAACUUGGAUAAGGAUAAUCCUAUCUCCAGGAUCGAUCAGAUUUUCUGCUACCCAUCUGAGAGCUGCUUUGCUGGUCGGAGAGUAGUCCAUGCCUAUACCAACUGUACGUGCUUUGCCCAUCUCAGCUAUUGUUAUGGACCUUUGUUGUUCAGUAUUUCCUCUCUAUACAGAUUCUUUUUGGGAUUCUAUAUAUAGCAGAA
rnacentral:misc_RNA from 1 species